rnacentral:rRNA from 1 species
AGGAUUCCCCUAGUAACUGCGAGUGAAGCGGGAAAAGCUCAAAUUUAAAAUCUGGCGGUCUUUGGCCGUCCGAGUUGUAGUCUGGAGAAGUGCUUUCCGCGCUGGACCGUGUAUAAGUCUCUUGGAACAGAGCGUCAUAGAGGGUGAGAAUCCCGUCUUUGACACGGACUACCAGUGCUUUGUGAUGCGCUCUCAAAGAGUCGAGUUGUUUGGGAAUGCAGCUCAAAAUGGGUGGUGAAUUCCAUCUAAAGCUAAAUAUUGGCGAGAGACCGAUAGCGAACAAGUACCGUGAGGGAAAGAUGAAAAGCACUUUGGAAAGAGAGUUAAACAGUACGUGAAAUUGCUGAAAGGGAAACGCUUGAAGUCAGUCGCGUUGUCCGGAACUCAGCCUUGCUUUCGCUUGGUGCACUUUCCGGAUGACGGGUCAGCAUCGAUUUUGACCGUCGGAAAAGGGCUGGAGUAAUGUGGCACCUCCGGGUGUGUUAUAGACUCUGGUCGCAUACGACGGUUGGGAUCGAGGAACGCAGCGCGCCGCAAGGCAGGGGUUCGCCCACUUUCGCGCUUAGGAUGCUGGCAUAAUGGCUUUAAACGACCCGUCUUGAAACACGGACCAAGGAGUCUAACAUACCUGCGAGUGUUUGGGUGGAAAACCCGAGCGCGUAAUGAAAGUGAAAGUUGAGAUCCCUGUCGUGGGGAGCAUCGACGCCCGGACCUGACGUUCUCUGACGGAUCCGCGGUAGAGCAUGUAUGUUGGGACCCGAAAGAUGGUGAACUAUGCCUGAAUAGGGUGAAGCCAGAGGAAACUCUGGUGGAGGCUCGUAGCGAUUCUGACGUGCAAAUCGAUCGUCAAAUUUGGGUAUAGGGGCGAAAGACUAAUCGAACCAUC